CUAUCUGUUAAAAUGUUAGUUGGUAGAGCUUUCGGUGACAAAAAAGGGUCGAAACUGAAAGAUUAAAAUUUCUUUAUUCUUAUUAAGUUAAACCGAGCUUGACUGUCAAAUUUGAGCGAAAACGGACAUUUAGAAGGGCUCCGGCGAAAAGUAUCAGAUUCUGAGUUGGACUAAAAUUUGUAUGCUUAAUAUUUAUGGACCUAAAGGCAAUUGUGCAUUUCUUAGUGACUAAGCUGCCAGGGGACCAUUCUUAUCCACUUCCUCUUCACCCUGUACGCAUGAGAGAGAGAGGGAAAGGAAGAGAAAAGGAAAAAAGAGAAGGAAAAGAAGAAAAAGAGAAGUGAGGAUCUUCAACUACUCAACGAGCCGAUCGAUCCUCCGAGCGCGUUGGAUGUUUCCGACGCUCCGACUGCGAAGUUAGUUACAGAAAAAGGUGUAUUAAAUAGCCAUGGAAGGAUUUGAGAUCUAGCUUGGAAUUGAUUGUGUGGAAACCUAAUAGAGGGUAAAACUGACGCGUUGGAAAGCUCGAAAGUUCGAAUUGACAUUCCGACGGACCUACGAUGCGAAAAUUAAGAAACGCUUCAUUCUAGCUUUACUUGCAUCGAGUCGCGUGGACUAAUGUUUAUACGGUUCUUGAUGUUGGUUCUAGUCUCCGACAUCCCUACAGGUUCCAUUGCGAGUAUUGUGGCCGAGGAUCGAGGCAAGAGCCAGCAGCCUAGCUAGUGGACACCGAGUACUAGUGGUAUACCAUUUUGGGUUCAUGUAUCAUCUAUUUUGAUGUACAGAGACAUAUAAAUGAAUGUAUUGAAGGACAUGUAAAUAACUAAAUGUUCUAGUUAUGUAA